UGUAGCAGCAAUAUGGAUCUUUUUUUCUUCUAUUUCACUUUUUUCAAUCCAAUAUGCACUAUUGUUUAUCAGUAUCGGCAAGUCAUCCACCUUGAUGGAGAUCCCCUUCUUAACAUCGUAGCUAGACAAAAAUCUGAGAGUAAUAAUAACUAAUAAGAUUCUAAGGGGUUUGUGAGAGAGAAGAAAUGAGCGAUGUGGUUAGUGUGGGAGUAGGUUCUGUUGCAGGAGCUGUGGUCUCUGAGCUCCUGAAAGCCGUGAUUGAAGAGGCUAAGUUGGUGGUGUCGUUCAAAUCUGUGUAUAUGGAGCUCGCAUCGACGAUGGAGAAAAUGCUUCCGAUAAUCAUGGAGAUCGAAAUGUUGCAACGUGCUGAAGAAUUACAGGAUCUCGAUAAUAUAAUAAAUGAAGCUCGUUUACUGGUUCGGAAGUGUUCACAAGUCAAGCGGUGGAACCUACCCUCGAAAGUUAAAUAUACAAGAAAAAUAGAGGAAAUCAACAAGAAGAUGCUCAAGUUCUGUCAAAUUCAACUUCAGCUUAUUAUGCUUCGGAACCAACGGCUGAUUAUGCAUCAACAGGGAAUCCACUAUUUUUCUGCCAUGCCGUCUCCUGUGCCGCCGGGGCUGUCUUAUAUUCUGCCUGAGGAUACGAGGGAAGCCAUUGAGAGUCAUCUCAAAAGCAUCAAAAAGAAGCUCGACGGCUGGAGUGUUUCUCGGCCUGUUUACAUGGAUCUUUGUUCGGUGCCCAAGCUUGAUAAGGUUGUCGUUGGCUUGGAUUUGCAAUUGAUGGAGGUAAAGAAGAAGCUCCUUGAUGAUGAUGAUGAUGAUGAUGUGGUUAGUCUCGUAGUUUCUGCUCCUGGGUGUGGGAAAACCACAUUGGUUACUCAGCUUUGCCAUGAUGACGAGAUCAUAGAAAAGUUCGAGCAUAUCUUCUUUUGCGAUGUGUCAAGGGUUUCUACCUUCAGGACCAUCGUACAGACUUUACUACAGCACAACGGUUACGAAGCACCAACAUUUGAUAACGAUUCUCAAGCGGUUGAUGGCUUAAGAAAACUGCUUGAGGAACUUAAAGAAGAGGGUCCUAUAUUAUUGGUGCUGGAUGACGUGUGGCAAGGAGCAGAAUCCUUGCUUCAGAAAUUUCAGAUUAACAUACAGGAUUUCAAUGUUCUGGUGACUUCUCGGUUUGAGUUUCCGAGUUUUGGUCCCACUUAUCAUUUGAAACCGUUGGGAGAUGAAGAUGCCAAGUCCCUUCUCACGGAGCGGAAAUAUCUGGGUAGGAUUGCAUAAGAGCAUGAAGAUUAUCUACAAAAGGGUUUCCUCAUCAUCUGCCACCUCAAGAUCAUUUGAUGCUGUCUCUUGUUCCUUCUCUGGACCCUCUGAGGAACUUAUAAUGAGUGACUUGAGACGUGGAGAGUUGGUAUUCUCCAGCAGGGGUUCUGUGUUGCACAAAGGAUGUGCCGCGUUUUGAUGGUACGGUUCGAGGCUUCUCAAACUUGGUGGGGGUGUGACCUCUAUGUCUGAUGGUUGCAUUGCUAUAUUAAAGUCAAUUCCCGGAGGACUCACCGAUCUAAUACCCCGCUCCCAUGGUGAUAGUGGGCGUCUCUGCUCGGCUGCGGCAGCCAUAAUAGAGUCCGCCGUUUUUUCCAAUAAUCCUUCCGCGUCACCCAGUAAAACAUGUUGUCUUCUGGCCACCGCCUCCACUGGAUCAGUACAGCUAAGGGGGCCCCUGCUGUUUCAUGAGACGAGCCACCGCUUCUUCUGUUUGUCCUCGAGCAUCCCCUGCCAGAACCCUCUGUCUCCUCGCUGCUGCUUCAGUGGGUUCUGGACAGUUCAGGUAAAGCAUGGUUGCCUCGUUUAGAUCAUUUAGAAUUUGCUCUUCUGUUCGCUCCUGUAAGACCCUUUGUGAAGUCUGAAAAGUUGUGUUUGUAGAUACAGGGGUUUGAGGUUUUGCUCUGGACGGGCCCGUUGUCUCUAUUGUCGGUUGAGGGUGGGGAGCUCAAACUGUGAGGUUCAGGUACACUUUCCAGCAUUUUUCCUCUCCAAGGGAGAUGUUCCUCCCUUGGUCUUUCUAGAGUUUUCGAUGGAGGGGGAACUCUAGUCUGUUUUGUUUCCACUCUAGCCCCAAAAAUGUUACCGUGGCGGUUAAUCCUUUCAUGGAAAGCUGCAGCUUUCAGGUCUUUAGUAGGCAUAGAUCUGCCAUCUCUUGGCGGUAAGGGUGUAACUUUUCUACUACGCUGCUCAGGAGCUCCGUGUCUACCACGCUGCUCUGCUCGUGGUGUAUCCCUUAAGUUUGUAGGGCAAUCUCUCUUCAAGUGUGAGAGGGAGUAGCAAGAGGAACAGUGAUUAUCUAGCUUUUCAUAUUCCAGGUACAUAAGACUCUCUUCCCCCGAAUCAAAUUCUAUGAUUGCUUCUUUUAUCAGAGGUUUUAGCCCAUCAACUAGCACUUUAACCGUUGCUGUCGUCUUGGUGAGUUCAUGGUCUAGGAGCGUUCCUAGAUCCUUCCCUAUUUUACAUACCAUGUCUUCAAGCCAGAAGUGAAGAGGUAUGCCUUUGAUGCGGAUCCAGAAGGAGAUCUGUGAAGGGAAUGUUGUCGCUAUAACUGGUUCUCACCUUUGGAUGAUGACCAUCCAGUAAGCAAAGUGGUGCCAUUUGCGAGGUAAGGCUGGAAUGAGAGCCCAAAUUCUUUGUUCAUGUGGGUUGGUGACGCGUCCAAUGAGAGUCUUCGCGUUUUCUUUGAUAAGAGCAGAGUUAUCAACACUAGGGGCUUUGAUUCUUUUUAUGUUUGUUGCUCAGAUCAGCUCGGUGAGUAACAGGAUUUGAGAUGUGGUAUCUUCAACUCUCUCGUGCGUAUCAGGAUGGAGCAGAAGAAGAUAAUUUCGACGAUGAAUAUGGAGAGGCUUGAGAUCUGUAGAAGGUGAACUCUCCGGAGGAUGCUAUUUCCAGAAAAGAAAUAGGGUUUCCAAGUGAGAUUAGAUGAAGGACCGGAGGAUACUUGCCAAAAACGGAACUUCUCUGAGAUGUCAUUGUCACUAAUUUGAAACGUUAGAGACGUUGCUUUUUUGCAUUGGGAGUAGUGUCUGGGAGAGUCCUUUCUCACCGAGACAGUUCCAUUUAUGGUCCUUAAAUAAAUUACAAUAGCUAAACUGUAUAUAUUAUACUUGUCUGCUUACUCGAAUAGAAUCAGUUAGUAAUUCCUUUUA